UACAGAGGGGGCAAGCGUUGUUCGGAAUUAUUGGGCGUAAAGGGCGCGUAGGUGGCCUUCUAAGUUGAACGUGAAAUCCCUGGGCUCAACCCAGGAACUGCGUCCAAGACUGGGAGGCUUGAAUCCGGGAGAGGGAUGCGGAAUUCCAGGUGUAGCGGUGAAAUGCGUAGAUAUCUGGAGGAACACCGGUGGCGAAGGCGGCAUCCUGGACCGGUAUUGACACUGAGGCGCGAAAGCCAGGGGAGCAACGGG
rnacentral:rRNA from 1 species